rnacentral:rRNA from 1 species
UAGGGAAUAUUGGACAAUGGGCGAAAGCCUGAUCCAGCCAUGCCGCGUGGAGGAAGACUGCCCUCUGGGUUGUAAACUCCUUUUAGCAGGGAAUAAACCUGUCCUAUACGGACAGCUGAAGGUACCUGCAGAAUAAGCACCGGCUAACUCCGUGCCAGCAGCCGCGGUAAUACGGAGGGUGCAAGCGUUGUCCGGAUUUAUUGGGUUUAAAGGGUGCGUAGGCGGGUCAGUAAGUCAGUGGUGAAAGCCUGCGGCUCAACCGUAGAACUGCCAUUGAUACUGCUGGUCUUGAGUGCAAUCGAGGUGGUUGGAAUACGUAGUGUAGCGGUGAAAUGCAUAGAUAUUACGUA